CGGCGAGCUUAUUAUGGAGAUUGGUAUCUCGUAGAGAUUCUCGUGACUCUGGAUGCCGGUAAAUCUCCCAUGAGCUCAGACGGAACAGAUGCGCGAUGACGAGCGCAUGGUACGCACCUAUGUAAAACGGAUCGUAUCGUGGUGCGUGCUCGCAAGAUCCAGUACUCACGUCGCAAACAGGCAAGAGUGAGUUGCGAACCUGCGUGCAGAUGGAUUACGAAAUAGCGAGUGUGCAAGUCGCCCUUUCGCCCUAAUAAGCCCGUCUUGGUCUAGGAUAGGGUUAAGAGAAAGUAACUUGCUGGAUUU